rnacentral:rRNA from 1 species
GACGAACGCUGGCGGCGUGCUUAACACAUGCAAGUCGAACGGAAAGGCCCUGCUUUUGUGGGGUUCUCGAGUGGCGAACGGGUGAGUAACACGUGAGUAACCUGCCCUUGACUUUGGGAUAACUUCAGGAAACUGGGGCUAAUACCGGAUAGGAGCUCCUGCUGCAUGGUGGGGGUUGGAAAGUUUCGGCUGUUGGGGAUGGACUCGCGGCUUAUCAGCUUGUUGGUGGGGUAGUGGCUUACCAAGGCUUUGACGGGUAGCCGGCCUGAGAGGGUGACCGGCCACAUUGGGACUGAGAUACGGACCAGACUCCUACGGGAGGCAGCAGUGGGGAAUAUUGCACAAUGGGCGGAAGCCUGAUGCAGCAACGCCGCGUGCGGGAUGACGGCCUUCGGGUUGUAAACCGCUUUCGCCUGUGACGAAGCGUGAGUGACGGUAAUGGGUAAAGAAGCACCGGCUAACUACGUG